UACGGGGGGAGCAAGCGUUGUUCGGAUUUACUGGGCGUAAAGGGCGCGUAGGCGGCCACUGCAAGUCAGUUGUGAAAUCUCCGGGCUUAACCCGGAAAGGUCAACUGAUACUGCAGGGCUAGAGUGCAGAAGGGGCAACUGGAAUUCUCGGUGUAGCGGUGAAAUGCGUAGAUAUCGAGAGGAACACCUGCGGCGAAGGCGGGUUGCUGGGCUGACACUGACGCUGAGGCGCGGAAGCCAGGGGAGCGAACGGG
rnacentral:rRNA from 1 species